rnacentral:tmRNA from 1 species
GGGGAUGUAUUGCUUCGACGUUCAGCGCUCAUUAACAUCUGCAGACUAUCUUUGAUCAAAGAUAUAAACAAAGAUCAAACAACAACUGUCAAUUUAAAAAACAGUAUAGUUGCUAAAGCAAAAGCUUUCGGAACUCGUUCAAUGGAAACAUUGGCAGGUCUAAUUGCUCCAGCUCCAGCAGCUCUAGCUUUCGCGUAAGCGGAAAUAGCAUUUAACACCCCAUUGUCAGUGGCGGUGAGUGUUAGGUGAAAACCCAGUCACUGUGUCAGCGAGCUUGUUUCUACCAGAGCUCGUGUAAGACUUUCGGUGGAAAGUGUCGAGGAAGUGUUUGGCUAUUACCAGCCUCGACAUCACUUAAAAAUACCCUACGUCUGUAGACGAUGUUUUUGUUCCUGGGCGGACAGGGGUUCAUAACCCCUCAUCUCCACAA